UGGGGAAUUUUGGACAAUGGGCGAAAGCCUGAUCCAGCAAUGCCGCGUGUGUGAAGAAGGCCUUCGGGUUGUAAAGCACUUUUGUCCGGAAAGAAAUCCUUGGCUCUAAUACAGUCGGGGGAUGACGGUACCGGAAGAAUAAGCACCGGCUAACUACGUGCCAGCAGCCGCGGUAAUACGUAGGGUGCAAGCGUUAAUCGGAAUUACUGGGCGUAAAGCGUGCGCAGGCGGUUUGCUAAGACCGAUGUGAAAUCCCCGGGCUCAACCUGGGAACUGCAUUGGUGACUGGCAGGCUAGAGUAUGGCAGAGGGGGGUAGAAUUCCACGUGUAGCAGUGAAAUGCGUAGAGAUGUGGAGGAAUACCGAUGGCGAAGGCAGCCCCCUGGGCCAAUACUGACGCUCAUGCACGAAAGCGUGGGGGAGCAAACAGGAUUAGAUACCCUGGUAGUCCACGCCCUAAAACGAUGUCAACUAGUUGUUGGGGAUUCAUUCCUUAGUAACGUAGCUAACGCGUGAAGUUGACCGCCUGGGGAGUACGGUCGCAAGAUUAAAACUCAAAUGAAUUGACGGGGUCAUAGCUGUUUCCU
rnacentral:rRNA from 1 species